rnacentral:rRNA from 1 species
UACGGGGGGGGCAAGCGUUAUUCGGAAUUACUGUGCGUAAAGGGCUCGUAGGCGGCCAACUAAAUCAGACGUGAAAUCCCUCGGCUUAACCUGGGAACUGCGUUUGAAACUACAAGGCUAGAGUGUGGCAGAGGGGGGUGGAAUUCCACGUGUAGCAGUGAAAUGCGUAGAGAUGUGGAGGAACAGCGAUGGCGAAGGCAGCCCCCUGGGUUAACACUGACGCUCAGGCACGAAAGCGUGGGGAGCAAACAGG